UAACAGUUCUGGAAGGAACCUUUGAAAUCACCUACCUAAUCCAUGGCCCUCAUUUCACAGAUGAAGAAACAGAUGUCGAGAAAGAUUCAGGAAAAGACAGCUUGAGAGAUCCAAGCUCUGAAGCCACAAACAUGAGCAUCACCACCCAUAAGCCUGCAUAUUGCCUUUGCUUCUCUCUCCCAUCGGUUAGAGGGAAUUGACCAGGUACUGCUUAUUAUAUGAGCUGAUGAUGGAGAAGUAAUGAAAGAACCACAAGCCACUGGGAAAUGAAGUUCAUCCUUCACAAUGGCUCCAGACUUGGGACAAACCUAUCUUGGUGCUCAGAGAACCAAGAAGGUCUGAAUAAAAAGGUUUGCUCUCCA